UCCUGCUCACGCUGAGGAUGCAGCUCCCUGCUGCCAGCUGCCUGCCGAGGGGCCCACGCGGCGGCGAGGAGUGAGGCAGCCAGCGUUGUCUUGCCGACAACCACGCGGGUGAGCCCGGAAGGAGAGUUCCCCUGUGGAGCCUUCGGCUGAGACUGCAGCCCCCGGGGAGACUGAGGCAGAGGCACCCAGCUUCCUAACCUACAGAGGUAGGUUAUUACCUACCCAGCUGUCUCAGGUUCCCUCAGCCUUCACCGGUCACGCCUAACAAGCAGACUCAGCCAGCCUCCCCGCAGGACUCACUGUCCGUCACCAACAGCUCAUUCCUGAGUCCGAUCACCUGAAGGCCCUGCGACUUCCAGUCCUGCAACCGACCUGCGCUCUCUGGCCCCUGCAAAAGCCCUGCCCUUAGCCCCCCACAGACAUCUUCCAUAUCAAAGUUCCUUUCCUCCUUGGCAAUCUUCAUCGUCUCAGUCACUGGCUGUUCGUGCAGCGAGCGAUGGGACCUCGGGCUGGACCCCUCUUGGGUUUGGUAACGAUGUCAAAGUCAAAACAGACAGUUGGAGAAAAAACCUUUUUUUUUUUUUUUAAAUAUGUAAUGCAAUUUACUGGAGUGAAGAGGAGGUUACAUAAACAAUUUCAAACUGCCAUUCCUUCUCCACUGAGUUCAAUGAUUUCUUUUUCACCAAGUUCAGUGAUUGUCUAGCCCUGCUUCCUCUCUCUCAUGGGGCUGGCAGGCUGUCACAGCACUGCGGCGUGGGAACUAAGGUAAACCGAGGACCCAGACCCUACAUAGUCACCCAGAGGCAUGGCAAUUGCCCGGCUGGCUCUCCCGGCAGCCUCGGGUCCCCGUGGCAGGGCCCGGCACUGGGCCUGGAGUAUGGCAGGUGUGGAUGUUCAUUCUCUGUGGCUGCUGCUAGGAAUCAUCCCGGAGGCAGUGGCUUCAAACAGCACGGAUUGGUCCUCUUGCGGGUCUGGCGGUCAGAUGUCUGACGCGCAUCUCCCUGCGUUAAAGCCAAGGUGCUGGCAGGGCUAGCUCCUUCCGGAGGCUCUGGGAGAAUCUGUUUCCUUGCCCUUCUCAGCUGCUAAGGCCACCCACAUUCCUUCACUCCCAGCCAGCAACGGCGGCAAGUCACUCGCACGUCACGUCACCCGACCCUGACGCUCUGACUCCCCCUCCCACGUUCAGGGAUGCUUAACGAUCACAUUGAGCCCACCCAGGUAAUCCAGACUAGUCUCCCUGUUAAGGGCAGCUGACUACCAGCCUUAAUUCCAUCUGCAACAUCCAUUUCCCUUUGCCACGUGACCUAACAUUGCCACAGGCUCUGAGGGUCGGGGCGGGGAGCUCUUUGGGGGUCGUUCUUUUGCAUUCCGCAGUGCUCGCUAGACGAGUGUAGCCAGCGUCAGUCAAUCACUCUGGAUUAUUUAAGACUUCAGCUACGACUUUCAAUCACAAGGCCUCCAGGUAACUAUUUCCAUCCUCAAAGCGUUUCAUGUUUUAAAAAGAAAAAAAGCCAUCUAAAAUUUAUAUUGUACAUUUCUACACCACUCCCAAAGGUGAAAACUCGCAACUUUGGGCCAUGCCCAGAACACGAUCGGCGACUAACCUCACUAUCAGUGACCGAGUAGUCCAUGCUUUAGACUAAGGGCACACAGUAGGGUCUAGUCCAGACAUAAGUGACAGGAAACAUUGCUAAUUAGAUUCUUCUUGGAGGUCGCUUCAUGGAAGCCAUAGAGGUUAUUUUUUUUGGGUAAUACUGGUUUUGUUGCUUCUGCUCAGUAAGCUCGGGAAACUCCCCCGAUUCCAGAUAGACUCGGCGUGCAGGGGGAAGCUGAGACGGAGGACAGGAGUUGCGUCUCUGAUGGAAAAGGGUGAAUCUACCCGGGCUCUGCCCAGGACCUGUUGAAUCAGAAACUCCGGGGUGUGGACCCAGCAGGCUGUGUUUCAACAACCCCUCCAGGUGACUCUGACGCAGCUAAACUCUGGACAUCGGCGUAUGUGGAGCCCUGGCUCCACCAGUGGUCAGCGCUCAGCUCACUAUAGCGGGGAGGUGUGUGUCCUCUGUCGGAACAGUGUUUAUCAUAUUUGUUACUAUUCAAUACGAUUGUCUGUGUUAUGAUGGUGAUGAUGACGAGUACUGUUCUCACACAGCAGCUACCUGGGCCGGCACUGAGUGAAGCGGAAGCCAGGACAGGGCUCCUGCAUUCGGUUCAGCUGCUCCUGGUGCAUUCCGCAGAGCGGCUGCUUGCCAACCACCCACCGGGUUGUGCACGAGACUCGCCUCCGGUGAGCGCCGAGCUGUGUGCGUCUCCCAGCUGCAGAGUUAGCAUCAGUCUCAUCCUACAACUUGGACACACUUUUUCCGAGCGAAGACAGAAAUGCACUUUCCUGUUAGUUCACCUGAUGCACGUAUGCCACCCCUUUCCUCUCAGCUUUCCCUGCCCCAGCCCCUCCCCACCUUAGGAAGAAUAUUUUAUGGAUAGUUCCGUAUAUUUAAAGUCCUCUUUCCCAAAGCAAGCAAGACUUUAGCACAGGACGUCCUCCUUGGGCCCCCAAACCAGACAGCUGCAAAAGGGGGCCGGACAGGUUUUCUGACCUCACCUGUGAGCUGGGAUGUCAGGAUUCAUCAUUAGCUCCGAGCAUCUGCACCUGCCCACCCUUUAAUCUACACACUGAAGAAAAACAGCCUUCAUUCUGUUUGAUGUUUUAAACAUUUUUUGUGGAAGUGCAAAAAAUUUGCUCUGCCCCAUAGUCACUCCUGCCUGCGAGGCUGGCGGGUGCACCCGGCAGCGGGGAGGCGCCAGGGUGGGCCCUCUGUGCCCCAUACCCAUGCUGCUUGGCAAGGCCUGCCCGUCACCGACGCUGCGGCGGAACAGAUAACAAGCAGCAACGUUGCAGAAAGUGGAAGCGAGGUUUUGCAGGGAGGGUUGUUUAUGUCCUUUCAUUCUUGCAUGACAUUCUGUUUAUUAAAGAUUUUCAAAGCACAAUGCAUGAGACGCAGCAAGAGAAGCCGCUGUCGUGCUUGGCUGCCUUCCCCCCGUAGAGUGCCCUUAGGGCGGAAGUGCAAGCUGGGCAGCACCCACGGCCCACCCACACCCGAGGUCCUCCUGCGCCCACAGUCCACUCGCAGCGUGGUCUGCCCGCUCCUGUGGUCCUCUCCAUCCUGGGCCGCCAGCUCUGCCCACAAGCCCGGGUGCGCAGGUUUGGGUGCGGGAGGUGAGGGCCACUUACGCUUCCCAGAAACCGAUUCAAUUGUCAGUAAAUUUCGUUUUUACUAAAUGCAUACACAAUUUGCAAAUCUGAAGUCAGAAGCUAUAUGCAAAAGUAUUUUUUUGCUUUUGUUAUAAGAAAUAACAGGAAACUGAUUAUAAA